GUUAAAACACAGAAAGCAGAUAACAUUUACCUGGCAUGAUGAUGGUGGAGAACUCCACACUAAGAAAUCCUGAAAUCAUCUCUGAAUACCAGCUUCACUACUGCUGAUGUGGCCUGGAAUCCAUUGGUAGAGAGAGAGAGAUCUACAAACCUUGCAAAUCUCUUCUGGAAGACUUGAGUCUGGGAGGGAGGGAGGGAGGAAGGAAGGAAGACAUUGUCUCUACAGAUAAUAUUUGCCUUGCUGGAGGCAAUUAAACAAAAUUAAAA